CGCGCGCUCCCCGCCAUCCUUUGCCGCCCCGCGCCCGGCCUAUUUAUAGGCCCCCUCCUCGCCUUCUUCCUCCUCACCAAGCAAGCACACCAGCCUCCUCAGUCCUCACAGCAUCCUCUCAGUCCUUAGCUUCCUUCCCUCGCCGCCACCCACCAAGGAAAGGAGGAUGUCUUGCUGCGGCGGCAACUGCGGGUGCGGCGCCGGCUGCAAGUGCGGCAACGGCUGCGGCGGGUACGUGCUGUGCUGUGCUACGUACAGAAGGACGCCUGAGCUAAACUAACGUUUCAGAGUAGGUACUGAUUUGCAUGUGUGCGUUUACGUAGGUGCAAGAUGUUCCCCGACGUGGAGGCCACCGCCGGCGCCGCCGCCAUGGUCAUGCCCACCGCCUCCCACAAGGGGUACGUAUCGCGCCAACUAAUUAACCGCGCUUGUUCAACUGAGAACAUGCAUAUGGAUCUCUGACUGACUGGUGGAUGGACUGGCCUGACUCUGCUUGUGCAGGAGCUCCGGCGGGUUCGAGACGGCCGGGGAGACCGGCGGCUGCGACUGCACCACCUGCAAGUGCGGCACCGCGUGCGGCUGCUCCUGCUGCAGCUGCAACUGAGCCGGCGCCCAGGAGGCCGGCCGGCAGAGGCG
rnacentral:lncRNA from 1 species